GACGAACGCUGGCGGCGUGCCUAAUACAUGCAAGUCGAACGCAGUGGGGACGGGUGAGUAACACGUGGGUAACCUCCCAUCAGAGGGGAUAACACUUGGAAACAGGUGCUAAACCGCUACUGAUGGAUGAACCCGCGGUGCAUUAGCUAGUUGGUGACGUAACGGCUCACAAAGGACACGAUGCAUAGCCGGCCUGAGAGGAUGACCGGCAACACUGGGCGUGGGAGACGGCCCAGACUCCUACAGGAGGCAACAGUAGGGAAUCUUCGGCAAUGGACGAAAGUCUUACCGAGCAACGCCGCGUGAGUGAAGAAGCUUUUCGGAUCGUAAAACUCUGUUGUUAGAGAAGCGGUAUCUAACCAGAAAGCCACGGCUAACUACGUGCCAGCAGCCGCGGUAAUUC
rnacentral:rRNA from 1 species